CCCUUAGAUGUUCUGGGCCGCACGCGCGCUACACUGAUGAAUGCAACGAGCUCUACCCUUGACCGAAAGGCCCGGGUAAACUUGUGAAACUUCAUCGGGAUGGGGAUAGAUUAUUGCAAUUAUUAAUCUUCAACGAGGAAUUCCUAGUAAGCGCGAGUCAUCAGCUCGCGUUGAUUACGUCCCUGCCCUUUGUACACACCGCCCGUCGCUCCUACCGAUUGAAUGGUCCGGUGAAAUCUUCGGAUUGCUGACCAAGAUCCAGCAAUGGAGCUUGGUUGCGAGAAGUUGAUUAAACCUUAUUAUUUAGAGGAAGGAGAAGUCGUAACA
rnacentral:rRNA from 1 species